GCAAAAACUAUUGCCCAGGGCUACCAAAGAGUGAGAUCUCCCAUUCUGCUCUGACCAUCCAGUCCAAAUAGCCUGCAUACACAGAGACUGCAUCUCUAUGGCCUGGUUAAGCCUUGCAGUGAUGUAAAUCAGAUCUCUCUUGAAAUCACUGGACUGAACUAAAGCGGCGGAGAACCAGCUCAAAGGUUCAGUGUGCAUCAGGAUAGUUUGUGAUGUCUAACACUCAUGUCUGACUUCAUAUCUCAUAGAAAUGAAGCAAAAGCUUCCAAAUGCCCCACGAGUUUUGCAUCAUCUCUUUAAAGGGUGAUGUACUGGACACACAGAUUAGAAAAAAAGUCAAAGCUUGGUAACUG
rnacentral:lncRNA from 1 species